CUCCACUAUGUUGUCAUAUCCCCAAUCUGCAGGCCUCCACUAUGUUAUAAUGUCUCCAGUCUGUAGGUCUCCACUAUAUUGUCAUGUCUCCAAUCUGUAGUCCUCCACUAUUUUGUAAUGUCUCCAGUCUGUAGACCUCCACUAUGUUGUAAUGUCUCCAGUCUGUAGGUAUCCACUAUGUUGUCAUAUCCCCAGUCUGCAGGCCUCCACUAUGUUGUCAUGACUCCAGUCUGUAGGUCUCCACUAUGUUGUAAUGUCUCCAGUCUGUAGGCCUCCACUAUGUUGUCAUAUCCCCAGUCUGCAGGCCUCCACUAUGUUGUCAUGUCUCCAGUCUGUAGGCCUCCACUACGUUGUCAUAUCUCCAGUCUAGUGGUCUCCAGUCUGUAGGCCUCCACUAUGAUGUCAUGUCCCCAGUCCGUAGUCCUCCACUAUAAUGUAAUGUCCCCAGUCCGUCGUCCUCCACUAUGAUGUAAUGCCUCCAGUCUGUAGGCCUCCACUAUGUUGUCAUAUCCCCAGUCUGCAGGCCUCCACUAUGUUGUCAUGACUCCAGUCUGUAGGUCUCCACUAUGUUGUAAUGUCUCCAGUUUGUAGGCCUCCACUAUGUUGUCAUGUCUCCAGUCUGUAGGCCUCCACUAUGUUGUCAUGUCUCCAGUCUGUAGGCCUCCACUAUGAUGUCAUGUCUCCAGUCUGUAGGCCUCCACUAUGUUGUCAUGUCUCCAGUCUGUAGGCCUCCACUAUGUUGUCAUGUCUCCAGUCUGU
rnacentral:lncRNA from 1 species